AAUUUAAUGACAAAUCUGUUGAAGGUUCAUUUUUGUUACUUUGUCAUUAUUUCAUGUACCAGUACAUGUAGUGAAUAACUACCAUAGUAAAAUGAAAAUAAGAUCAAUAGCAUCUCUUUUGUGACCAUUAAUAGUUUUCAUAUGUAUAUCAUAGCAUGUAAUUGUUCAAGCCAUCACUUUUUUCAAAACUUGGGCAUUGUUAAAUGUUUUAAUGCGUAUUUGUACUUUACCUUGUUCCUUUCAAUAUCUUAUUUACUUUUUAGUGUCUGACAGAUUUCUAAAUAUAUUUAUUAUGCUAAUUUCUUGCUUGUCAUUUUAUGAGUUUUUCUCCAAGUUCUCACUUUUGUGCAGAAAACAGAUAUUAAGGUUCUCUAACCCUCAGCCUCAAAGUGUUUUAUCAUUGAAAUGUUAUUUGUCCUUCAUAAUUUAUAAAUGAAAUACUAGAUGACUAAAUUUCUCUAUAUUAUUACUUAUUAGGUUUGUUACUGAUUGUUUACAGAAAUUUGUGGGGUCGGUAAAGUCCAUAGAAGGCGAGGCAGAGUGUUUUGUUUUGUCGAGGACUUAAAGUUUGAUAUGUAAACAACAAAAGAUAUUAAUAUAUAACAAUUAAAUUCACAGGCUU
rnacentral:misc_RNA from 1 species